UUUGGCUCAGGAUGAACGCUGGCGGCGUGCUUAACACAUGCAAGUCGAACGGGGUUUAAGAAGGAAGCUUGCUUUCAUUUUAAACCUAGUGGCGGACGGGUGAGUAACGCGUGAGGAACCUGCCCUUCAGUGGGGAACAACAACUAGAAAUGGUUGCUAAUACCGCAUAAUGUCGGAGAGCCGCAUGACAUUCCGACCAAAGGAUUUAUUCGCUGAAGGAUGGCCUCGCGUCCGAUUAGGCAGUUGGUGAGGUAACGGCCCACCAAACCUACGAUCGGUAGCCGAACUGAGAGGUUGAUCGGCCACAUUGGGACUGAGACACGGCCCAGACUCCUACGGGAGGCAGCAGUGGGGAAUA
rnacentral:rRNA from 1 species